ACUCAUACCUUGCAUUGGAAAUGCUGUAUCAUAAAAAUUGUUUUCCCAGGCAGAGGCUCAUCCAUUGUACUUUGGGUGUCCUGUUGAUCCCUGUGAUUUCCCAAAAUGUGGGGAACUCAACUGCAUAAUUUGUGUUAAUGAGGGGAUUAUAUUUAUGAUUUCCUUG
rnacentral:snRNA from 1 species